rnacentral:lncRNA from 1 species
GUUUAUUACAAAUUAAAAUGUGUAAACAGCAGUUUAAUUUUUAGGAAGUGUCUAUUUAUCUAGCUAAUGGGAAACAAGUUUUACCCUAUCGGCGUGUCCUUUUGACUCUCCUGACCCAGGGUUCUUAAGAGGAUCUCUGUCUGUGGCUCCAUAUUUCUCCACAAGUUCUGCCAUCAGGCUGAAGCAGGGAGACAUGAAUCUGGAUGGAUGAUACAGUGCCAAUGGUCAUCGCUACCAAAGGGCUUGAGUUGCACUGAGAGUCAGCGGUGGUCCCAAUUUGAAAACGGGCUACUUCAAUUUGAAACGACAUCGAUGGAACUAGAGUGUAUCAUGCUAAGCGAAAUAAGUCAAUCAAAGAAAGACCAUCAUAUGAUCUCUGAUAUGAGGAAUUUCAGAGAGGCAGCGUUGGGGGGGGGGUCAUAGCGGGUAGGGAGGGAAAAUAAUGAAACAAGAUGGGAUUGGGAGUGAAACAAACCAUGAGACUCAAUCUUAGGAAACAAACGGAGGGUUGCUGGGGGUUGGGGGUUAGGGUGAGGGUGGCUGUGUUAUGAACAUCGGGGAGGGUAUAUGCUAUGGUGAGUGCUAUAAAAUGUGUAAGCCUGAUGAUUCACAGACCUGUACCUCUGGGGCAAAUAAUACAUUAUAUGUUAAUAAAAAAAGGAAAAAAAUGGACUACAUCAGAAUUCAUAAUUCAGUUUGGCCAGUUUUA